UAUAGUCACAUGUACAAUUGCUAAUAGAACAUUUCAUGAACACAUAUCUAAUUUAAAACAGCGGGCAUUAAAAAACGAGUCAAACAUAAUUCAGUGUAAUUCCUUCUAAACAGUUGCACAUGUUUUUUGUCAAUUUGUAAUUAAACACUAUACAAUGUUGCAAAAGGAAAAUUAUUUAAAAUUAUUAAGAUCUUACUAUAAAUAUAUCUCAGGCUAGAAAUAUACAUAUAUUUCAGUUUAGUAAAUGCAAAGUGAAUAAUGC